GUUGGAAUAAUUAUAAUGCAUGGGGAUUGGGAUUAGCAACCAAUUCAAAUCAAGAGUUCAAAAUUUAAAAGUCAAUAACGUCGCUGCUCAUGUCCUUACGGUCAACGAGAAAGGGAAGGAAUAUUAGUUAGACAACCAAAAUUACUAGAGAUCGAAGAAUCUUCUGCAUCUUCACAGUUUGGUUCAGUGGGAUUAGGUAAGGACAUUCUUCCAGGUAUUACAUCCUCAUUGGGACAAAACCUGCUUCUCAGCUUAGCGUUCAAUGCAAGGUAUGUGGAAGACAGGUAAUAGGAUCCAAGCAGUCAGCAGAUGCGGAGUGUGGUAAACAGCGAGGCGGAGGAAAAUGACAGCUGGCGAGUCUGCGAGCUGGCAAGUUUAUCCUAAUGAUUUUACUACGCUAUCGUUUCCAUGGGAUUGUUCAAUUGUUUAUUGUUCAUGGCUGCAUUUUGACCAGUCAAAUUUACGAAAGUUUUCGGUAGAUACCGUUAUGACACUGAACUCUCUACGAUACUCAAAAGGUGCACAAGCUAGUAGGGUAGACAAGAGUACGUGUUGAAACCCGAGUGAAAUUGUGCGAAUCUCUUCAUCAGAAGCUACCAGUUGAAUUGACCAGAGCAAGUGCUGAGUGAGGGAUGAUUCACUAUAUUUUUCAGACGAUAGUUAUAACUUAACACUAACGCUUUAAAGGCCGAGACGAACCUUGAAUUUUUAAAUGGCCACUGUUGAGUUUCUAGUAGAUCAAUUAAUUUGAUAUAAAUUUUGAACUUAUAGUUGAACGGUAAUGCAAAAAGCGUGGACACAAAGGGUACAAAAUUGGCCUCAUGCGGAUCUCAACACCUAAUUGAGCUAGAAGGUUGGUGUCUUCGGCAAAAUUGUUCA